AGAGAGGAGAACAACUCUUUCUUGUAGGAUGUGACGUCACAUUGUUGCUUGUUUUUACUUUUUUGAAAAAGCUACUCUCGAACGUAGAUUAGCCAUUGCCGCCGUGUCGGCUGCAAGACGUUCUGCGCGCGCUUUUGUGCGUGUCGAAAGCGUAUAACGUGCGCGAUAUUCGUGCGAGCGCAGUUUGACUUGAGCAAUCGUGGGCUUGGACUCCGUGAGAUUUGCUUUCGUCAUAUGCGAGUUAGGGGCUUGCCGACAGGUAAACCGCCGCUGUACUUAAGUGAAUACCUUGUUUUUCGUGGUCCUGAAAUAAAUGGCGCGUCGCUGCGAUGGCGACUUCAAUCGAGUGCGGUAAUUGCUGCGCAUUACGGGCGAUUUAAUUGCACAAUACGUUCUGCAUUAUCGGUGUAGGCAGAGAAAACUUAUCCUGUGAGCCUUACUUCCGUCAGUCAGUCGGUUACAUGUUUCGCUCUUUUCCAGUGCACAUUCCUUGAUAUCCACUAACGAGCUGCUUCAAAUAUCGAAGUGUCUAUUCAUCGUGCAGAUGUUUUUUUAUUACUAUUAUUAACACAACUGGCGACGAGCAGCAGAGUUACAGCCAUGCAAAAGCUGCCUCCCUUAUCUUGAACAGAAUAAAUUCCUUUCGAAGACAAAAUAAAGAAAACAGAAAGAGAAGUCAUCAAGGCAUUCCACAUCUAUCUUAUUCAGUCUUUACAGUGUUGCUACAUCACCAUUUCCUGAGCCUCCUAUGCCAAAAAAGGUUGUUGUCAAAAAUAAAAUGACCUGAUUCCCAUGUUUUUCACCAUCCAA